UGGUAUCAGAGCCUCGACGACGAUCCGACUAUGUUUGUAUGUGCUUCGUGGUCUUGGAUGAAGUCUGUUUCGAGGUUUUUGGGGAUGAUUUCUGAGACCUCACGGUCGAUGAAGAUUUCGACCUAUCAGAGACUUUUCUGAGUCUUUCAUCGUGAUAUCGGAGUGUAUUUUCUUCUCCUGAACAUUCUGGAAGAUUUUACGAUGAUUUUUGGUUGAUUUUGGGUGACCUAUCGGCUUCUAGGGUUUCUGGUGGUUUAACCUGAAGUUUUACUGCCUUCCGGUGGCUCGAUUCUCACUCAGUGGACGUUUUGGGUGCCUCUCCGACGUUCCUGACCACAUUUCCAGUA
rnacentral:lncRNA from 1 species